UCAUUUUCAGCGUAUCUGAGGUGUUCAGCAUUUUCUAUGACAACAUUAUACUUUACUUUAAAAAAAAGG